ACACCUCAACUCUCAUGGUUUUACCGUGAUGAGCUUGGACUUUGGGGGUCUUGCUGGCCAGUGGUCGGCUCCUCUCAAAUGAAUCAGCUUACCAGUGUUUGGUGGCAUCACAGGUGUGAUAACUAUCUACGCUUGUGGUUUCCUGCCAGGUAUCCUUCAGUGAUGAAGGGUCGCUGGAGCUCAUAAAUGUCUCUCCCCAGCGAGGACGACUUCUGAAC
rnacentral:misc_RNA from 1 species